rnacentral:rRNA from 1 species
AUUGAACGCUGGCGGCAUGCCUUACACAUGCAAGUCGAACGGCAGCACGGGUGCUUGCACCUGGUGGCGAGUGGCGAACGGGUGAGUAAUACAUCGGAACAUGUCCUGUAGUGGGGGAUAGCCCGGCGAAAGCCGGAUUAAUACCGCAUACGAUCUACGGAUGAAAGCGGGGGACCUUCGGGCCUCGCGCUAUAGGGUUGGCCGAUAGCUGAUUAGCUAGUUGGUGGGGUAAAGGCCUACCAAGGCGACGAUCAGUAGCUGGUCUGAGAGGACGACCAGCCACACUGGGACUGAGACAAGGCCCAGACUCCUACGGGAGGCAGCAGUGGGGAAUUUUGGACAAUGGGCGAAAGCCUGAUCCAGCAAUGCCGCGUGUGUGAAGAAGGCCUUCGGGUUGUAAAGCACUUUUGUCCGGAAAGAAAUCCUUGGCUCUAAUACAGUCGGGGGAUGACGGUACCGGAAGAAUAAGCACCGGCUAACUACGUG